AACGAACGCUGGCGGCAUGCCUAACACAUGCAAGUCGAACGAGAUCUUCAGGUCUAGUGGCGCACGGGUGCGUAACGCGUGGGAAUCUGCCCUUUGGUUCGGAAUAACAGUUGGAAACGACUGCUAAUACCGGAUAAUGACGAAAGUCCAAAGAUUUAUCGCCAGAGGAUGAGCCCGCGUAGGAUUAGCUAGUUGGUGUGGUAAAGGCGCACCAAGGCGACGAUCCUUAGCUGGUCUGAGAGGAUGAUCAGCCACACUGGGACUGAGACACGGCCCAGACUCCUACGGGAGGCAGCAGUGGGGAAUAUUGGACAAUGGGCGAAAGCCUGAUCCAGCAAUGCCGCGUGAGUGAUGAAGGCCUUAGGGUUGUAAAGCUCUUUUACCCGGGAUGAUAAUGACAGUACCGGGAGAAUAAGCUCCGGCUAACUCCGUGCCAGCCGCCGCAGUAA
rnacentral:rRNA from 1 species